CGACAAUCGCUGUCUUCGAUAGCCUCUUUUUACUGUUCUUCGCUAAUAUCUCGAAGAAAACCAUUUUAUGGCAAAUCAUGGAUGAAACAGCUUAAACCUACAAUACAGAAUCCGUGUUCAAAAUUUCAGUGUAAAAUGAACAUUCACACACAAUAUGUUCGUAAUGUGUAUUUAUCAGGAAGCAUCCUUGGUGUUUCAUUUAUGAUUGGAUCUAUAGGCUUUUCGCAUCAGGUUGUGUAUGCCAUGGAUGGACAAGACAUUUUGGUGGAUGAUAGAGAGUUUUUAGAUGCCUCAGAUACAGAAAGAAAUCCUCCUAUGUUAUGGAUUUUUGUCAGAAAAUUAUGGCUACCUGCUUUUUUCUUUCUGACAGUGUUGGUGAAUUGGGAUCAUCCCAUCAUUCUUUUGACUAAAGUUGCCCUUUUCCUCCUCAGCACGAAGCCCAGCCCUUUAUCAGUUUAUGUAUUUGUUGAACAGUUGUGUCAUCAAUCUAUGCGCCAAGAACCCUACUUGUACUUACUAAAGUCAUUAUAUGCCAACAAAGUUGAAGUCCAGGAUUACAAACUUUUCUGCCUUGCCACGGUUGCAGUAAAAGGCCAGACAAUUACUUUGGUUGGCGUUCUUGGUGGUUGGUGGGUUUUGCCAUUGUCAGAAAGAGCAUUUUCUGUGUUUUGGGAUAGUGCUUUUUAUUGAGAAAAUAAGGUAACUUAACUGCUGAAAAAAAUUUGUUGCUAAUCAACAUUGAAGGCAUGAUGUUUGGCUUUUGAAUUAGUUGAAUUACCUUUAAAAAAAGUUGCUGUUCAUUUCCCUAGUCC
rnacentral:misc_RNA from 1 species